rnacentral:rRNA from 1 species
AAUCAACGCUGGCGGCGUGCCUCAGACAUGCAAGUCGAACGCGAAAGAGGGCUUCGGCCCUUGAGUAGAGUGGCGCACGGGUGAGUAACACGUGGGUAAUUUACCUUUGGGUGGGGAAUAACAGUCGGAAACGGCUGCUAAUACCGCAUAAUGCAGCGGCUCCACAUGGAGACAGUUGUUAAAGCGGGGGAGCGAGCAAUCGCCCUCGCGCCUGAAGAGAAGCCCGCGGCAGAUUAGCUAGUUGGUGAGGUAAUGGCUCACCAAGGCUUCGAUCUGUAGCCGGCCUGAGAGGGCGGUCGGCCACACUGACACUGAAUAACGGGUCAGACUCCUACGGGAGGC